GUAACUAUAGGAACGGUCCUGGGAGAGGUCACUGUAACUAUAGGAACGGUCCUGGGAGAGGUCACUGUAACUAUAGGAACGGUCCUGGGAGAGGUCACUGUAACUAUAGGAACGGUCCUGGGAGAGGUCACUGUAACUAUAGGAACGGUCCUGGGAGAGGUCACUGUAACUAUAGGAACGGUCCUGGGAGAGGUCACUGUAACUAUAGGAACGGUCCUGGGAGAGGUCACUGUAACUAUAGGAACGGUCCUGGGAGAGGUCACUGUAACUAUAGGAACGGUCCUGGGAGAGGUCACUGUAACUAUAGGAACGGUCCUGGGAGAGGUCACUGUAACUAUAGGAACGGUCCUGGGAGAGGUCACUGUAACUAUAGGAACGGUCCUGGGAGAGGUCACUGUAACUAUAGGAACGGUCCUGGGAGAGGUCACUGACACAGUAACUCUAGUGUUGUGUAAUCACUGCUCCAGUGGGGUGGGGGUUAUUAUUAUGGAACACUGCAGAUA